rnacentral:rRNA from 1 species
AGUCGUACAGGUCUCCGUAGGUGAACCUGCGGAGGGAUCAUUACACAAAUAUGAAGGCGGGCUGGAACCUCUCGGGGUUACAGCCUUGCUGAAUUAUUCACCCUUGUCUUUUGCGUACUUCUUGUUUCCUUGGUGGGUUCGCCCACCACUAGGACAAACAUAAACCUUUUGUAAUUGCAAUCAGCGUCAGUAACAAAUUAAUAAUUACAACAUUCAACAACGGAUCUCUUGGUUCUGGCAUCGAUGAAGAACGCAGCGAAAUGCGGUAAGUAGUGUGAAUUGCAGAAUUCAGUGAAUCAUCGAAUCUUUGAACGCACAUUGCGCCCUUUGGUAUUCCAAAGGGCAUGCCUGUUCGAGCGUCAUUUGUACCCUCAAGCUUUGCUUGGUGUUGGGCGUCUUGUCUCUAGCUUUGCUGGAGACUCGCCUUAAAGUAAUUGGCAGCCGGCCUACUGGUUUCGGAGCGCAGCACAAGUCGCACUCUCUAUCAGCAAAGGUCUAGCAUCCAUUAAGCCUUUUUUUCAACUUUUGACCUCGGAUCAGGUAGGGAUACCCGCUGAACUUAAGCAUAUC